UUCCCCCAAAAAAAAAAAAAAAAAAACUCCCACAAAAAUCCCCCCCCAAUUCACUCAGAAAAUUUGGCUUGAGCACCGCCCCAUCCACCUGAGCUUGAAGACCGCCGAAGUUCAGCCUCAAAGAGUUCCGUUGGAUUGAAGGCUGCCGGAGUGCCGUCAGCUAGUUCGAGCGUUAGCCACCGUCAAGCAGCAUCAACACUUAUACAUUAGGGCUUCCGGAGUUCCUCUGGGUUGAAGGCUGCCGGAGUGCCAUCGGCUAGUUCGAGCGUUAGCCACCGUCAAGCAGCAUCAACACUUAUACAUUAGGGCUGCCGGAGUUCCUCUGGGUUGAAGGCUGCCGGAGUGCCGUCGGCUAGUUCGAGCGUUAGCCACCGUCUAGAGGCACCAUGCAGUUAAUGCAUGUUUGGCGCCGCUGUACUCUGUAGAAGGAAUGCAUGUAAUCACAGUGGAAGGCAUUGGAAGUCGUAAACUUGGCUUGCAUCCAGUGCAGCUACAGACGUAUCAAAACUUCUUAGAGGAGCAUGGGCUAAUGUUUCGUUGUUUCAUGUCUACAUUUUGUACCUAAUUCAUAUGCAUAUUUCCAUUUUAAAUAUAACCGAGAUCACAUUCCUUUGUCCUCUAAGGAUUUUGGUAGCUGAAAUCGAGCACAAUUUAUCUCGAAGUUCAUGGGUAUGUUAAAAAGGCUUUUAUGUCCGAACUUGAAAAGGAAGAUAAGCAUUGCAAAUUUAUGUUAGCACCGUAUCUUCAAAGUAAUCAUUGGGUGCUUUUGGUAAUAAACUUACAAUUGGGCCUUGUGUUCGAGUUUGAUCCUGCCACUUGUCCUAAAAAGACCCCAAGAAAAUUGAGAUUGGCUGAUAUACUAAUGAAGGCAUACAAGGUGUAUUUGUCUAAAUUGAAGGGUAAUGUUUUGAAAAGUAGAAGGAAAAAUUUGCUAUUUAAGCAAAUGGAGUGUGCUCAAUAAAAAGGAGGUACUGAGUGUGGAUAUUACGUCAUGAGAUACAUGUAUGAGGUUGUUGUUGGUCACAGUGAGUGCGAAGGUAAUUUAAGAGGAGGUAUAUUCUGCAAGGAAAAUGGCUUAUGAUGAAAGGGAAUUGAAUGAAACUCGAGAACAGUGGGCAAAUUUCUUUCGAAGAAAAUAUUUGUUGAAUGAACCAAUUUAGUUAUUUUAAUUUCAUCGAAUGCAUAACUAAUUUGAUUGCAUAUGUAGGGAUGGUGAACUUGUUUGUUGAUUAGUGAAUGAAUUUAUUGAUAUGUUACAUUAAAUUUUUUAUGUGGAAUGAUGACUUCAUUUAUUGGUGAA